rnacentral:rRNA from 1 species
AUUGAACGCUGGCGGCAUGCUUUACACAUGCAAGUCGAACGGUAACAGGCCGCAAGGUGCUGACGAGUGGCGAACGGGUGAGUAAUGCAUCGGAACGUGCCCAGUCGCGGGGGAUAACUACUCGAAAGAGUAGCUAAUACCGCAUACGAUCUAUGGAUGAAAGCGGGGGACCGUAAGGCCUCGCGCGGUUGGAGCGGCCGAUGUAAGCUUAGGUAGUUGGUGGGGUAAAGGUUCACCAAGCCAACGAUCUGUAGCUGGUCUGAGAGGACGACCAGCAACACUGGGACUGAGACACGGCCGAGACUCCUGCGGGGGGCAACAGUGGGGAAUUUUGGACAAUGGGCGCAAGCCUGAUCCAGCAAUGCCGCGGGCAGGAAGAUGGCCUUCGGGUGGUAGACUGCUUUUGUACGGAACGAAACAGCUCUGUUUAAUACCCGAGGCUAAUGACGGUGCCGUAAGAAUAAGCACCGGCUAACUACGUG